GGUGGAGGCAACAAGUGGGAACUGAGAAAGGGUUAGGGCUCUCUGUUCUUCUGUUAGGUGCACAACUCAACCAGUCGACCCGAAUCGGAAUCCGAAUCGAAUCAAACCGAAACCGGUCGAAGAUGUGGCACGAAGCAAGGAGGUCGGAGCGGAAGGUCCACGACAUGAUGGACGCCGCUCGAAAGCGAGCUCAACGACGUGCCGUUUUCCUUGCCAAGCGCCGCGGCGACCCGCAGCAAUCGAUCCAGGUCGUUGGCUCCCGCUGCCGUUUGUACCGCGACGACGGCCUCUACCAAGCCUCCGAGGACCAGCAAGGCCUGAUUCCUUGGAAUGGGAAACAGGACGUUUUGAUUGAUAGAUUUGAUGGGCGUGCUCUUCUCGAUUUUAUUCGAGAGUCCCGGCACUUACGUGCUCAAGAAAAAUCGGAAGAAGAGGAAGAAUUAGAAGAGUUUGUUAAUUUUGAGCGUUAUCGGGAUUUAAUUAAGCAUCGUCGUAGAGGAUUUACAGAUGAAGAGGGUUUGCAACAUGUGAAUGAAGAAAUAGAGACAAGGGUUACUGCUCCAUUUGCUCCUGAGAGGUCUCAGAUGCAACAACCUUCUGCCGUUAAAGGUUCUUAUUCACAGGUGGGGUUCUCUUAUGAAGGGGAUGGAAAAGAAGAGGCUCAGUUUUCAGACGCUGAUGAUAAUGAUGAAGAUGAUGAAGAAGAUGAGGAUGAGGAUGAUUUCAACAGUGAUGAUAGCGGUGAUGAAGGAAUGGAUAAAAUAGCAAAAGAAUUUGGAAUAAAAAGAUAUGGUUGGCUUGUAUACAUGGAUAAGAAAGCUAAGGAGGAGGAGAAAAGACAAAAGGAAGUGAUCAAAGGCGAUCCUGCAAUUAGGAAGAUGAGUCGCAAGGAAAGAAGGAAGGCUUCUCAGAUAGAAAGGGAGAGGGCAAGAGAAGCUGCACGGGUAACUGGAACUCAGGUGCUCCACCAUGAUCCGUACCGUGAAUCUAGACGAAGUCCAACAUAUGAAGCUUAUCCUCGCUCAAGAAGGUCAAGAUCGCGAUCAUACUCACCAUCAUUCUCACGGAGAUAUCCUCGUGGACGACAUUCUGAUGAAGCUCAUCGAAGCAAACCAGCAACUUCUAAAAUAGAAUAUAUUACUGAAUUUGGGGGCUCCGGAGAUAAGGAUGAAUCAAAGCGUGCAGGAUUUUCUCCACCGUCAUCUCCUCCCUCACAGGCCGAUGUGUUAAACCGGCCUUCAACUGGUCUCAUACUCGAGGCUCUGCACGUUGAUCCAGCAUCCGGUGCAUCCCUUGAGAAGGAUAAGGGCACUAAAGUGGUGAAACCACCAGCAAGUACAUCCUCAGCGUUAGCAAAGUUAACUAAGGGAAGUACUUCUGGUGGGCCAUUGAAACAGCAACCAGUGGAGAAGAAAGAAACUCCUCAAGAACGACUUAAAAGGAUUAUGAGCAGGCAGCUGAACAAACAAAUUAAGAAAGAUACUGCUGCUGAAAUUGCUAAAAAGAGAGAGCAGGAGCGCCAGAGGUUGGAAAAACUUGCAGAAACAAGCCGAUUAAGUAGAUCUAGACGUCGUAGUCGUAGCAGGAGCUAUAGCCGCUCUCCUCCACGAAGAUACCGAGAUAGUAGAAGUCGGAGUAGAAGCAAGAGUUCCCGAAGACAUUAUUCUCGAUCUCGGUCUCGGUCUCGGUCUCAUUCCCGCUCCCGCUCCCGAACCCGUAAUCGUUCACGCACGUACUCCCGCUCACCAAGGGUACGAAGCCGAACAAGACAUUGAUGGAUAUUGAAUUGACGCAAGGUGAUCAGAGUACUUCAAAUACUUGGAUUGGAGUAUUUUUGUACUUUUAGAAAGACUAGCGACUCUUCUGAGGGGACAAAUGACUUUAGUCGUUGCUAUAAUGGAACCAUUGGAUGGGCUUAUACGCUUGAUGAUGUGCAUGUUUUAAAGGAGUAUUUGCUGCCUGCUUAUUAUACGUAGAGAAUGAUAGCUUUCAAGCUCGAGCUUCAGCCUCGAUUGCUGCUUGAGCUGGCUUUGUUUGUGGAAAUAGUUUGAGUACAUUUGGAAGUAUCAACGAACAAGCUGAGCUUAAACUGGGCUUGACGUGUCUAAAUAAAAAUCAAACGCACUGUUUGUGAGCUUUAUGAGUUGAGCAUGAUAAAACUCGAGCUCGACUUUGUUUUUUUUUUUUAUAUAUGUUUAUAAUUAAUUUAAUAUUUGGUUUGAAUUCAGCUCCUCACUUGUACGAACUGAACAGAAAACGCGUCUUGUAUUGAUCCGGUUUAUAGAUUGUUUGAGAGUUCUCUCA